rnacentral:rRNA from 1 species
GGAGCACUCUGAUCCAGCCAUGCCGCGUGCAGGAUGAAUGCCCUAUGGGUUGUAAACUGCUUUUAUCUAGGAAGAAUCGCUACUUACGUGUAGCUUGUUGACGGUACUAAACGAAUAAGGACCGGCUAACUCCGUGCCAGCAGCCGCGGUAAUACGGAGGGUCCAAGCGUUAUCCGGAAUCAUUGGGUUUAAAGGGUCCGCAGGCGGACUAUUAAGUCAGUGGUGAAAUCUCUUGGCUUAACCGAGAAACUGCCAUUGAAACUGUAUGUCUUGAAUUCGGUCGAAGUGGGCGGAAUGUGUCAUGUAGCGGUGAAAUGCAUAGAUAUGUCAUCAGAACACCGAUAGCGAAGGCAGCUCACUAGGCCUGAAUUGACGCUCAGGGACGAAAGCGUGGGGAGCGAACAGGAUUAGAUACCCUGGUAGUCCACGCCGUAAACGAUCAUUACUCGAUAUUAGCGAUAUACAGUUAGUGUCUAAGCGAAAGUGAUAAGUAUUGCACCUGGGGAGUACGAUCGCAAGGUUGAAACUCAAAGGAAUUGACGG